rfam:Gossypium hirsutum cultivar TM-1 chromosome 8, whole genome shotgun sequence
AACCCAUAGUGAGGGCACCUUUUCAGUAAGUCCUUGUAUCUUUCCCAUGCAUCGUAGAGGGUUUCUAAAUUCAUCUGCACAAAAAAAGAGAUAUCAUAACAUAAUUU